GACGAACGCUGGCGGCGUGCUUAACACAUGCAAGUCGAACGGAAAGGCCCUGCUUUUGUGGGGUGCUCGAGUGGCGAACGGGUGAGUAACACGUGAGUAACCUGCCCUUGACUUUGGGAUAACUUCAGGAAACUGGGGCUAAUACCGGAUAGGAGCUCCUGCUGCAGGGUGGGGGUUGGAAAGUUUCGGCGGUUGGGGAUGGACUGGCGGCUUAACAGCUUGUUGGUGGGGUAGUGGCUUACCAAGGCUUUGACGGGUAGCCGGCCUGAGAGGGUGACCGGCCACAUUGGGACUGAGAUACGGCCCAGACUCCUACGGGAGGCAGCAGUGGGGAAUAUUGCACAAUGGGCGGAAGCCUGAUGCAGCAACGCCGCGUGCGGGAUGACGGCCUUCGGGUUGUAAACCGCUUUCGCCUGUGACGAAGCGUGAGUGACGGUAAUGGGUAAAGAAGCACCGGCUAACUACGUG
rnacentral:rRNA from 1 species